UCAUUUAUUUGUUUUAUAUAUAGUAAUGUACCAACUUGAUGGACGUGAGUUUGAGUAAGCUCCAGGAGUUGGUGAUGGACAGGGAAGCCUGGCAUGCUGCAGUCCACGGGGUUGCAGAGUCGGACACAACUGAGCAACUGAACUGACUGACUGAAUGUGCAUGUUAAUUCCACACUCCUCGUUUUACCUUAAGUUUUAAGUGGAUAGCCCCAACAGUUGAAAAAAAGGUGGACUCAGUGGGAUGUGUAUGACCUUCACUGCAUCGUUGAAUGAUUGCCCAUCAGAAAAAAACAAAAAGUGAAGGGCAACUCGGCAAGAAACGUAUCCUUGGAAUUGGUACAUAUCCAUGAAAUCUUGUGAUGCAUCUAUGAGGUGGUU